GUGAGCCACGCGCAGGAUGGAUGCUCGGCUUGUGCGCGCAGCGUGUUGAUCAGCACGGCCGUGAGGUUGCCGCCUGCGCUGUCGCCGCCGAUGGCGAUCUGCGACGGCAGAUAGGCCUGCUUGCGCAGGUAUCGCCACGCGGUCAUCGCGUCAUCGAAGGCCGCAGGGAAUGGAUGCUCCGGCGCGAGGCGAUAGCCGACCGCGAGCGUCCGGAUUUUUGCCGCGCGUCCGGCUUCGGUCACCAUGCGGCGGUGGCUUGUGAUCGAGCCUGAGCAAUAG
rnacentral:misc_RNA from 1 species